UUGUGUUUGUGUGUAUGAGUGCGAGAUAAUCCGAUAACCGAUAACCUGGACGAGCUGCGGAUGUGGACAGGAUGUAAAGAUAUGGGGCAUACAUCCCAGGGAAGGAACAAACAAACAAACAGGCAGGAAGAUGUGAAACAAGUUUAUGUGACAUUUUGUGUAACCUGUUAUGUGACUGAACUGUAUAAGAAAGGGUUGGAGGAAAAGGUCUUAGUCUCACUCUGUCUGAUGGUAGGGAGAGUGAAACACAA